rnacentral:rRNA from 1 species
AUACAGGUGCUGCAUGGCUGUCGUCAGCUCGUGUCGUGAGAUGUUGGGUUAAGUCCCGCAACGAGCGCAACCCUUUUCCUUAUUUGCCAGCACUUCGGGUGGGAACUUUAAGGAUACUGCCAGUGACAAACUGGAGGAAGGCGGGGACGACGUCAAGUCAUCAUGGCCCUUACGGCCAGGGCUACACACGUGCUACAAUGGUCGGUACAAAGGGUUGCUACACAGCGAUGUGAUGCUAAUCUCAAAAAGCCGAUCGUAGUCCGGAU